rnacentral:rRNA from 1 species
UACGAAGGUGGCAAGCGUUGUUCGGAUUCACUGGGCGUACAGGGAGCGUAGGCGGUUGGGUAAGCCCUCCGUGAAAUCUCCGGGCCUAACCCGGAAAGUGCAGAGGGGACUGCUCGGCUUGAGGACGGGAGAGGAGCGCGGAAUUCCACGUGUAGCGGUGAAAUGCGUAGAGAUGUGGAGGAACACCAAUGGCGAAGGCAGCCUUCUGGGCCAACACUGACGCUCAUGCACGAAAGCGUGGGGAGCAAACAGG